rnacentral:ncRNA from 2 species
UAUUUAUAUAGGCAAACUCAUUGAAAGAUGAGGACGCAAAGCUUAGGGUCUAAAUCUGUACGCAGAUAUGACAGCCAGUUGCACGA